AAAGCAAGCACAUAAAUGAUUGUUGUAGCGGCUAUCUUGUUUCUUCUUGGAGUUCUCUAUUUUUCUUAUAUCUAAAAUAAGAGUCUGGAUGGACAAGAGGCUGUUUUACGCGUCGGUUUGUGCAACAACGACGGUAAAACCAUCGUGUCGCUCCGCCAUUCGCUUGUUUAUUUCUCACAAACCUUUCACA